GCCGGAAUAGCUCAGUUGGUAGAGCAGAGGACUGAAAAUCCUCGUGUCACCAGGU
rnacentral:tRNA from 1 species